UACGUAGGGUGCAAGCGUUAAUCGGAAUUACUGGGCGUAAAGAGCGCGCAGGCGGUCGUUCAAGUCGCGUGUGAAAGCCCCCGGCUCAACUGGGGAGGGUCACGCGAUACUGAUCGACUGGAAGGCAGGAGAGGGUAGUGGAAUUCCCGGUGUAGUGGUGAAAUGCGUAGAUAUCGGGAGGAACACCAGUGGCGAAGGCGACUACCUGGCCUGUUCUUGACGCUGAGGCGCGAAAGCUAGGGGAGCAAACGGGG
rnacentral:rRNA from 1 species